AGGAUUUCUCAGAGCAUAGGCAGAGAAGCAAUUUGAAUACAGGUAGAAAGGUUUCAGUGACCCUGUUCUGUCAGGCUGUGGGAGAUUGUGGGCUUAGGAUCUACCUCCACACAGCAGAAUUUGGUCCUUGGGAACAGAAGGUAAAAGAAGAACUUCCUUUGCUGGUGUUCCACUACUGAGAUUUCUUCAGGAGGAAAAUCUAAAUAAAUGGAUAUAGAAGAACCAAUGUAAAUUAUCACCCAAAGUGCUUAGCAUUACAAGCAGGGCAUAUUGAAUAAGUCCCUACACUUUGAUCUUCAGAAAAACUCAAUUCAUGUUUAAGCAAGAGCUGAAGUGGUCCUGGGAGUAAAUAAGAGAUCUGAGGGACAUCCAUCCAUCCAUC